GACGAACGCUGGCGGCGUGCUUAAUACAUGCAAGUCAACUGAACUUGAGGUAGCAAUAUCACAAGAGAGGUGGCGCACGGGUGAGUAACACGUAGGUAAUCUGCCUUUAGGUCUGACAUAAUUCCGCGAAAGCGGGACUAAUAUCAGAUGAUGCAGCGGCUCGACAUCGAGACAGUUGUUAAACCUUCGGGGCCUAAAGAUGAGCCUGCGUCUGAUUAGGUAGUUGGCGGAGUAAAAGCCCACCAAGCCUGCGAUCAGUAGCUGGUCUGAGAGGAUGAUCAGCCACACUGGAACUGAGACACGGUCCAGACUCCUACGGGAGGCAGCAGUAAGGAAUAUUGCUC
rnacentral:rRNA from 1 species